CGCCUCUUCGAUUUCUGAGCUCGCCUCGUCGAUCUCUGAAAUCCCGUCGAGUGAUGAUUUUUAUAGAGGCGCGCAGUUCGUUUCAAAGUACACUUGAAUUUCCACCUGUAGAAACUCCCUUCUUGCACUUCUAAGAUCCUGAUUUGUUCGACCUUAUCUUUCUUCAACACCUUUGAAAAUGUCUGGCCUCUCCUACCAUCGUUUUGACUUGAACCUUGGUGAAGAGGCAUCCAUGCCUUCUCCAGACAACAUAUGGCGUCCAUCCUUCAUAUCCCCUAC
rnacentral:lncRNA from 1 species